rnacentral:rRNA from 1 species
UGGGGAAUUUUGGACAAUGGGCGAAAGCCUGAUCCAGCAAUGCCGCGUGUGUGAAGAAGGCCUUCGGGUUGUAAAGCACUUUUGUCCGGAAAGAAAUCCUUGGCUCUAAUACAGUCGGGGGAUGACGGUACCGGAAGAAUAAGCACCGGCUAACUACGUGCCAGCAGCCGCGGUAAUACGUAGGGUGCAAGCGUUAAUCGGAAUUACUGGGCGUAAAGCGUGCGCAGGCGGUUUGCUAAGACCGAUGUGAAAUCCCCGGGCUCAACCUGGGAACUGCAUUGGUGACUGGCAGGCUAGAGUAUGGCAGAGGGGGUAGAAUUCCACGUGUAGCAGUGAAAUGCGUAGAGAUGUGGAGGAAUACCGAUGGCGAAGGCAGCCCCCUGGGCCAAUACUGACGCUCAUGCACGAAAGCGUGGGGAGCAAACAGGAUUAGAUACCCUGGUAGUCCACGCCCUAAACGAUGUCAACUAGUUGUUGGGGAUUCAUUUCCUUAGUAACGUAGCUAACGCGUGAAGUUGACCGCCUGGGGAGUACGGUCGCAAGAUUAAAACUUAAAUGAAUUGAC